GGGCUUAUGGUCUAGUGGUAUGACGCCACAUUCGCAUUGUGGAAGCGCCAGUUCGAUUCUGGCUAAGUCCACCA
rnacentral:tRNA from 2 species